UACGUAGGGGCUAGCGUUGUCCGGAAUCAUUGGGCGUAAAGCGCGUGUAGGCGGUUCGGUAAGUCCGCUGUGAAAGUCGGGGGCUCAACCCUCGAAUGCCGGUGGAUACUGUCGGGCUAGAGUGCGGAAGAGGCGAGUGGAAUUCCUGGUGUAGCGGUGAAAUGCGCAGAUAUCAGGAGGAACACCAAUUGCGAAGGCAGCUCGCUGGGACGCUACUGACGCUGAGACGCGAAAGCGUGGGGAGCAAACAGG
rnacentral:rRNA from 1 species